rnacentral:tRNA from 1 species
AAUGAUAUAACUUAAUUAGGUAAAGUUAAUAAUUGCAAAUUAUUGUAUUUCAGUUCAAAUCUGAAUAUCAUUU